rnacentral:rRNA from 1 species
AUUGAACGCUGGCGGCAGGCUUAACACAUGCAAGUCGAGCGGGGAGAUGUAGCUUGCUACAUUUCCUAGCGGCGGACGGGUGAGUAAUGCUUAGGAAUCUGCCUAUUAGUGGGGGACAACAUUCCGAAAGGAAUGCUAAUACCGCAUACGCCCUACGGGGGACAGCAGGGGAUCUUCGGACCUUGCGCUAAUAGAUGAGCCUAAGUCAGAUUAGCUAGUCGGGGGGGUAAAGGCCUACCAAGGCGACGAUCUGUAGCGGGUCUGAGAGGAUGAUCCGCGACACUGGGACUGAGACACGGCCCAGACUCCGACGGGAGGCAGCAGUGGGGAAGAUUGGACAAGGGGCGCAAGCGUGAUCCAGCCAUGCCGCGUGUGUGAAGAAGGCCUUUUGGUUGUAAAGCACUUUAAGCGAGGAGGAGGCUACCGAGAUUAAUACUCUAGGAUAGUGGACGUUACUCGCAGAAUAAGCACCGGCUAACUCUGUGCCAGCCGCCGCAGUAAAAC